AAAAACCAAACAUUUUGUAAGGUAUUUUCUGACUUUAUUGAACAGAUAGAGAGAGAGGAUGACAGUUAUGAAAGAUAGAGGUUGUGCCAAAGGGCAGUAGGCCAGAUUCAAAACUAUGCCUAGAACGUAUAAGACAACAUACCACAAUUUCUUAUUGUUGUGAGAAAUAUCAAAAUGUAAUAUGAUUUAAUAUCAAUUAUUUAAUUACUCUUCUUAAUACAUGAAGAAAGGUUUGAAUGAGAGACGUGAAAACACAGCUGUGGCUGGAGCAGCAACUUACUUUACUGUGUAAACAUUACAGAACAUGUUUGCUGAUUGACAGUGAUCGUUGAUGUCUGGCUUUGUCUUAGAAUUGAUUGCCUUGAAAGCCUGUCACAUGCAAAAAAAGGGUUAUCACCCAACCAUGAUUGUCAUGUAAGUUCUGUCUCUCAAGUCCUUCUGUGAUGUUUCCUACCAUGUGUGAAUUGUCUUCCAUCCUGAAAAGAUGACAGGCAAACUACACCUCCUCCUGGUCUUGCUGGGCCUCUGUAGGAUAUAUGGUCAGAGUCUGGAGGACAUUCCCUCCAGUCCAGUCCUGAAAAAGCCUGCAGAACCUCUCAGCCUCUCCUGUAAGGGAUCUGGCUUUACCUUUAGUAGCUACAACAUGGCCUGGAUACGUCAACCUGCGGGAAGAGCACUUGAAUGGAUAGGCAUUAUAUGGAAUGAUGCUAGUGGAACUGUAUAUGCAAAAAGUGUUGAAGGAUGGAUAUAAGUCACCAGAGAGAAUUCUAACAGCGUGGUGUAUCUGAAGCUGUCUGGUCUGAGAACAGAGGACUCUGCUGUGUAUUACUGUGCAAGAGAGACACAGUGGUGUGAGUGGAGGAUCUGUACAAAAACCCCUCAGAGAAUCUAACUGGCAGCAUAGUCAACAGAGGGCAGAAGAGCAUCAGUACAGCACAGUCAACAGAGAGCAGUAGAGCAUCAGUACAGUACAGUCAACAGAGGGCAGUAGAGCAUCAGUAGAGCACAGUCAACAGAGGGCAGUAGAGCACAGUCAACAGAGGGCAGUAGAGCAUCAGUACAGCACAGUCAACAGAGGGCAGUAGAGCAUCAGUACAGCACAGUCAACAGAGGGCAGUAGAGCAUCAGUACAGCACAGUCAACAGAGGGCAGUAGAGCAUCAGUACAGCACAGUCAACAGAGGGCAGUAGAGCAUCAGUACAGCACAGUCAACAGAGGGCAGUAGAGCAUCAGUACAGCACAGUCAGCAGAGGGCAGAAGAGCAUCAGUACAGCACAGUCAACAGAGGGCAGUAGAGCGUCAGUACAGCACAGUCAACAGAGGGCAGAAGAGCAUCAGUACAGUACAGUCAACAGGGGGCAGUAUAGCAUCAGUACAGCACAGUCAGCAGAGGGCAGUAGAGCAUCAGUACAGCACAGUCAACAGAGGGCAGUAGAGCAUCAGUACAGCAGAGGGCAGAAGAGCAUCAGUACAGCACAGUCAACAGAGGGCAGAAGAGCAUCAGUACAGCACAGUCAACAGAGGGCAGUAGAGCAUCAGUACAGCACAGUCAAAAGAGGGCAGUAGAGCAUCAAUUUCCUGAAAACUAAAGCAACCAGUAAACCAUCAACUGAACUACUAUUAACAUGAGCAUUGUCCUAUAGGCAAGAGUAGAAAGUUAGAAGUUAGAAAAAUGUAUGAAAGUUUCACUCCACAAUAUAUACUGAUGCAUUGUUUGACAUUACAAAAUGCAGAUUUAAGAACCACAAUGUGGACCACUCAGAGUUUUUGGACGUUGUAGGUAAUCAUAUACAAACAUAGUACAGUAUGUAAUUUGGUAUCAGCUAUAAUACAUUAUAAAACGGGUUGUUUGGAUCCUGAAUGCUCAUUGGACAAGAAGCGUUCCAAGCCGUGCUGUGUUGGCCGUCACAGACAUACCAAUGCCCAUCUGAAAAUGUUCCAUCUGAAAAUGAUCACUGCACCUCCAUAAGAAUAUCAUGUUCAUGUUGCUGUCCGAAUCAUCUCUUGUAUUUAUCUCAACUCGCACAAUAUUUCCCCUUGCUUCUAGCCCAACAUUUAGUUUGGUAUAGCGGGGGUUAAUAUAAGCCUAGCUGUCUGCCUAGCAGACCUCUGAAGAUUUCUUUCACUUUUGAAAUGUAAAUUCCCCUGUAGAGAGAAUGCAUCAACCAAUGGUUGUGUGCCACGUCAUCGACUGUGUCAUCGACAGUCGAUGAGUCGAUGAGAUCCUAUGAGAUCCUAUUAAAUCACUAGUUCCUAAUUCUAUAUAGAUUUCUAUAACAUACAAUGUGGUUAGCUGAUAGGUAAAAUACCUAUUCAGGUUCUGUAAUAUUCGACAGGCGUCAGCAACGCCUGGGCUAUCACUUCGUGCUAAACAACGUCAGUAACCUGUGACUGUAUUCAGCACAUAACACGGCCUCUUGUACCUUACUGCUUAAUUACAUCAUCAAAACACAUGUAUGCAGAAACAAAACCAAGUACAGGCUAUGUGAGGUGUUGAAUCUCAUUAAACUGUGUUCAUUCAUGACAGAAAGUAGACAUGUAAAAGGACCUAUUUUUGUUUAUUAUUGAUUUUUCUUAACUGCCUCAUUGGAAACAUGUCCUUUGAAAACUACUAUACUGUUUUUGUCACCCAUGACCUUAAUGGAAACACUUUUCAAUACAUUAUUUCCUUGGGAAAUGGAUGUCUCUACAGUAUAUACCAUUUAAAUGAACUCUGUUCCUGGUGAGGUCAUGUGAUAAAGGACAACUCCUGGCCCUACCUAUGAGCCCUAAAUUGACCACUGACCUCAUUCAUCAGCCCCUCCCCCAUGACAUCAUGAUGUAAAUUCAGAUCCCUCAGAGUUCAUAUAUACUUAUGUUCUGCUGCUGACUUGUUGUCUUGUGUGGAGCAGCUGAGUUCAUAUCUCCACCCUCAGUAUGACAGGAAAACUCUCCCUACUACUGCUCUUUCUCUGUCUGCCCUGUCAGUUCUACUGUACUUAAUCAGCUGCUAUUAGUGAAAUUCGUGAACAUGGACAAUGGAUUUUUAAAACACUCUUAUCUUGCCUUCAAUUUUCUGUUUUCCUUUUUUUCUCUAGCACUUCAUUUUCUUUCUCUCUCUCCAUCUGGUUUCAAUGGCCGGAGUCGGGAGUCCAUUCCCUCCAGUUAAGUCCAGAAAAAGCCUGGAGAAACUCAGUCUCUCCUGUAAGGGAUCUGGGUAAACCUUUAGUAGCUACAACCCAGGUUGGAUAAGACAAACUGCAAGGAAAGCAUUGGAAUGGAUAGGUUACUCUGGAUUAGGCCUAGGUAACCAUGAACUUUUAGCAUUGUUACCUAGGCCUGGAAACGCCUAACGAUAAUUCCAACAGCAUUAUGACUCUGAAGCUUUCUGUUCUGAGAACAGGACUGCUGUGUAUUACUGUGUAAGAGAGACAGUGGUGUGAGUGUGUGGAGUAUCUGUACAAAAUGUCUCAGACAAUCUAACUGGCAGCAGAGUCAACAGAGGGCAGUAGAGCAUCAGUACAACAGAGUCAACAGGGCAGUAGAGCAUCAGAACAACAGAGUAACAUCUACUGAAGCAUAAUAUUCCCCUAAGAGCCAAAACAACAGAACUACUUCAACACAAGGUACAUAUUUCCCUGAGGAGAGAGAUAGAAAAUAAAGAGGAAUCACAUACAGGCCUACAUACUCUAUUUGUGUUUAUUCCUGUUAAACAAGGUGACUGUCCUUGAUAGAUUGAUCCCUAAUCUGACAUUUAUAGUAAAUUAACCACAAUGGGGAAUUAUUUCUAUAAAUACUCAGAAAACCAUCCUCCAAGAUUCCCUGCAGUUUUACCAAACACCUUGACCAGAUCAGGAAAAACUCUAGGCCCUGAUUAUGACAUGGGGACAGAGUUUAUCCGUGUCAUUUGACAUGUCAUGUUAUCAAUGAAAACUCCUGGCCCCACCAAUGAGUCAUAGCUUGACCCCUGACCUCAGAGUUAUCAGUCCCUCCCCCAUGACAUCAUGAUGUAAAUCCAGAUCCCUCAGAAUUCAUACAGUGCCUUGCGAAAGUAUUCGGCCCCCUUGAACUUUGCGACCUUUUGCCACAUUUCAGGCUUCAAACAUAAAGAUAUAAAACUGUAUUUUUUUGUGAAGAAUCAACAACAAGUGGGACACAAUCAUGAAGUGGAACGACAUUUAUUGGAUAUUUCAAACUUUUUGAACAAAUCAAAAACUGAAAAAUUGGGCGUGCAAAAUUAUUCAGCCCCCUUAAGUUAAUACUUUGUAGCGCCACCUUUUGCUUCGAUUACAGCUGUAAGUCGCUUGGGGUAUGUCUCUAUCAGUUUUGCACAUCGAGAGACUGACAUUUUUUCCCAUUCCUCCUUGCAAAACAGCUCGAGCUCAGUGAGGUUGGAUGGAGAGCAUUUGUGAACAGCAGUUUUCAGUUCUUUCCACAGAUUCUCGAUUGGAUUCAGGUCUGGACUUUGACUUGGCCAUUCUAACACCUGGAUAUGUUUAUUUUUGAACCAUUCCAUUGUAGAUUUUGCUUUAUGUUUUGGAUCAUUGUCUUGUUGGAAGACAAAUCUCCGUCCCAGUCUCAGGUCUUUUGCAGACUCCAUCAGGUUUUCUUCCAGAAUGGUCCUGUAUUUGGCUCCAUCCAUCUUCCCAUCAAUUUUAACCAUCUUCCCUGUCCUUGCUGAAGAAAAGCAGGCCCAAACCAUGAUGCUGCCACCACCAUGUUUGACAGUGGGGAUGGUGUGGUCAGGGUGAUGAGCUGUGUUGCUUUUACACCAAACAUAACGUUUUGCAUUGUUGCCAAAAAGUUCAAUUUUGGUUUCAUCUGACCAGAGCACCUUCUUCCACAUGUUUGGUGUGUCUCCCAGGUGGCUUGUGGUAAACUUUAAACGACACUUUUUAUGGAUAUCUUUAAGAAAUGUCUUUCUUCUUGCCACUCUUCCAUAAAGGCCAGAUUUGUGCAAUAUACGACUGAUUGUUGUCCUAUGGACAGAGUCUCCCACCUCAGCUGUAGAUCUCUGCAGUUCAUCCAGAGUGAUCAUGGGCCUCUUGGCUGCAUCUCUGAUCAGUCUUCUCCUUGUAUGAGCUGAAAGUUUAGAGGGACGGCCAGGUCUUGGUAGAUUUGCAGUGGUCUGAUACUCCUUCCAUUUCAAUAUUAUCGCUUGCACAGUGCUCCUUGGGAUGUUUAAAGCUUGGGAAAUCUUUUUGUAUCCAAAUCCGGCUUCAAACUUCUUCACAACAGUAUCUCGGACCUGCCUGGUGUGUUCCUUGUUCUUCAUGAGGCUCUCUGCGCUUUUAAUGGACCUCUGAGACUAUCACAGUGCAGGUGCAUUUAUACGGAGACUUGAUUACACACAGGUGGAUUGUAUUUAUCAUCAUUAGUCAUAUACUUAUGUUCUGCUGCUGUCUUGUUGUCUUGUAUGAAGCAGCUGAGUUCUUAUCUCCACCCUCAGUAUGACGGGAAAACUCCCUUCUGCUGCUCUCUCUCUGUCUGACCUGUGAGUUCUGCUUGGUUUUACUCCUUAUCAUCUGUUCUUCAUCUGAGCAAUGACUGAAGACAAUUUUAUUUCUCCAUUGUUUUCACUCAAUAUUCCACCCUCUCUCCUUUCUCCUCUCCCCCUGUUUCCUCUCUAUCCUUCUCUCCUUCAGGUUUAGAUGGUCAAACUAUGGAAUCCAUUCCCUCCAGUCCACUCCAGAAAAAGCCAGGAGAAACUCUCAACAUCUCUUGCAGAGGAACUGGGUAUACCUUUACAAGCUAUGGUAUGAACUGGAUUCGCCAACCUACAGGGAAACCAUUGGAAUGGAUGGGCUGGAUCAACACCAAUACUGGAGCAGUGGGCUAUGCCAAAUCCCUGGAGGGACUGAUUGAACUGACCAAAGACAGCUCAGUGAGCAUGACACAUCAGAAACUGUCUGGUCUGAAGGCAGAGGACUCUGCUGUGUAUUACUGUGCACGCUGGACACAGUGAUGUGAAUGUGUGGUGGAUCUGUACAAAAAACCCUCCGACAUGGAUAGAUACAGGAUGUGAAACAUGUACACACUGUUGUUCUCCCCUGACACACUUCACUAACCCUCCUCUGUAAACAGCUGGGGUAAACAACCAUAUGCUUUAAUAUGAGAUGUCCUUACCUUAGAAACUCUGUCUAUGCUUCAUGAAGAGGGCCUUGAGUUUUUCUUGAUAUUCUUUUGAGGAGGGUUAGAAAAAUAAGACAAUAAACAUGCACAGGUCA